GUUUAAAGCAGUGAAAUUUUUCUUAUUUUUAACAGAAUUCUUCAUUUCCCACAUUUCCCUUUGGGUCUCCAUAAACUGUAAAUGCUCUGCUCAGGUCUGAAUUCUCAUUCAUUCAACUCCACAGUCCUCUUCAACCCUAUUUCUGAGUAAUGACACCAAAAGGUGGUUUGGAGCGCUGGCC